rnacentral:rRNA from 1 species
GCCUGUGGUGAUAUCAUGUUGAAUGUACCAGUUCCCAACGGAUGAUCACUAAAGUUCAGCAACGUUUCGCGUGGUUGGUAUCGGGACGGGUGACCGAAAAAAGCCAGCUGCACGCG